rnacentral:rRNA from 1 species
GACGAACGCUGGCGGCGUGCUUAACACAUGCAAGUCGAACGAAGUGGCGAACGGGUGAGUAACGCGUAAUCAACCUGCCCUUCAGAGGGGGACAACAGUUGGAAACGACUGCUAAUACCGCAUACUGAAGGAGGGGAUUGCGUCUGAUUGGCUAGUUGGAGGGGUAACGGCCCACCAGGGCGAGGAUCAGUAGCAGUGCUGAGAGGAUGACCGGCCACAUUGGGACUGAGACACGGCACAGACGCCUACGGGAGUCAGCAGUGGGGAAUCUUCCGCAAUAGACGAAAGUCUAACGGAGCAGCGCCGCGUGGAUGAUGAGGGCCUUCGGGUGGUAAAGCUAUGUUAAUCGGGACGCGGUACCGAAAUAGAAAGCCACGGCUAACUACGUGCCAGCAGCCGCGGUAAUUC